rnacentral:misc_RNA from 1 species
GAUGAAGAACGUAGCGAAAUGCGAUAAGUAGUGUGAAUUGCAGAAUUCAGUGAAUCAUCGAAUCUUUGAACGCACAUUGCGCCCUUUGGUAUUCCUUAGGGCAUGCCUGUUCGAGCGUCAUUUAAACCUUCAAGCUAAGCUUGGUGUUGGGUGACUGUCCGCUUCACGGCGGACUCGCCUCAAAAUUAUUGGCGGCCGGUACAUUGGCUUCGAGCGCAGCAGAAACGCGAACUCGGGCCCGUCGUAUUGGCUCCCAGAAGCUAUCUUCACAAUUUUGACCUCGGAUUAGGUAGGGAUACCCGCUGAACUUAAGCAUAUCAAUAAGCGGAGGA